UUCUGGCUCAGGAUGAACGCUGGCGGCGUGCUUAACACAUGCAAGUCGAACGGAGGACCCCGGACGGAGUUUCGGACAACUGACGGGGAUCCUUAGUGGCGGACGGGUGAGUAACGCGUGAGGAACCUGCCUUGGAGAGGGGAAUAACACAGAGAAAUUUGUGCUAAUACCGCAUAAAGCAGUUGAGUCGCAUGGCUCUGACUGCCAAAGAAUUAUCGCUCUGAGAUGGCCUCGCGUCUGAUUAGCUUGUUGGCGGGGCAACGGCCCACCAAGGCGACGAUCAGUAGCCGGACUGAGAGGUUGGCCGGCCACAUUGGGACUGAGACACGGCCCAGACUCCUACGGGAGGCAGCAGUGGGGAAUAUUGGGCAAUGGGCGAAAGCCUGACCCAGCAACGCCGCGUGAAGGAAGAAGGCUUUCGGGUUGUAAACUUCUUUUAUGAGGGACGAAGGAAGUGACGGUACCUCAUGAAUAAGCUCCGGCUAACUACGUGCCAGCAGCUGC
rnacentral:rRNA from 1 species